rnacentral:ncRNA from 1 species
AAUUAUGGUAUAAAAUAUAUAUAUAUAUAUAUAAUUUAUAUGAAUUUUGUUUUAGAUUUAAUUUUAGUAGUGUAUAAUAUUAAUUAUUAAAGAAAUUUAGAAUUAGUAAUAUAUUUUAAUAUAUGCGAAUUUUGUGCCAGCAGCAGCGGUUAUACAAAAUAUAUAAUAUAUAAAUAUUAGCUUUAAUUAAUAGAUAUAUAUAUUAAAUUAAAAUUUUUGAUUUUUAGGUGAAAUUUUAAUAUAAAAAUAAUUUAAAUAUAAAAUUAUAUGAGGUUAAGAACUUUUUUUUUAAACUAGGAUUAGAUACCCUAUUAUUAAAAAUGUAAAUUAUAAAGCUAAGUGAAUAAUAGUUAAGUUCUUUAAAGCUAAAUGAUUUGGCGGUAUUUUAAACUUUUCAGAGGAACCUGUUCUAUAAAUGAUAAUCCACGAUUAAAGUUACUUUGAUUAGAAAUUUUUAUAUCGUUGUUGUUAAAUAUUUUAUAAGAAAUAAAUAUUUAAGAUUUCUUAAUAAAGAAAAAAAUCAAAUCAAGGUGAAGUUUAUAUUGAAGAAGAAAUGGGUUACAAUAAAUUAUAUUUAUGGAUUAAAAUUUGUAAAGUUUUAUGAAAUUGGAUUUGAAAGUAAUUAAUUAAAAUAUUUUUUUAAUGAUUAAGCUCUAAAAUAUGUACAUAUUGCCCGUCGCUUUCGUCUAAAAUGGAAUAAGUCGUAACAUAGUAGAUUUACUGGAAAGUGGUUCUAGAAUGU